rnacentral:rRNA from 1 species
GCAAGUCGAGCGGAAACGACACUAACAAUCCUUUGGGUGCGUUAAUGGGCGUCGAGCGGCGGACGGGUGAGUAAUGCUUGGGAACAUGCCUUGAGGUGGGGGACAACAGUUGGAAACGACUGCUAAUACCGCAUAAUGUCUACGGACCAAAGGGGGCUUCGGCUCUCGCCUUUAGAUUGGCCCAAGUGGGAUUAGCUAGUUGGUGAGGUAAUGGCUCACCAAGGCAACGAUCCCUAGCUGGUUUGAGAGGAUGAUC